GUGAGACCUGGGAGGCCCAGCUGGGGGCAGCUCUGGGUGAGGGGCGGGCCAUGCUGGUACUGGCAGGGCUGAGCCUUUGGAUGGAGCUGGAUGAGCAAGGAAUUGAGGAGAGGAAGGAACCAGUCUCCAAGGGCCACAGAACAGAUCUGUGCCCCUGCUCCUAGGAGGCUGGUGAGCACGUCUGGGCCUGGCACCCUUUGAUCCCCCUUGAAACUGUGUCCCGUCUUGCAGAAGUGCAAUGGGGGUAACAUCUGCAUCAGAUGAUGUCUCAAUGCAGAGGUUCCCAGGUGGUGCUGUUGGUAAAGAAUCUGCCUGCCAAUGCAGGAGACACCAAAGAUGCAGUUUCGAUCCCUGGGUCAGGAAGAUCCCCUGGGAUAGGAAAUGGCAACCCAUUCCAGUAUUAUUGCCUAGAAAAUUCUUGCCUGAAAAUACAGUUCACUGGGUUGCAAAGAGUUGGACGCGACUGAGCAUGCAAUGCCAAGGCAAUCCAGCUUGGCUAUAGAGCCAUCCACCUGACCAGCUUCUGCCCCAUGAACUGGAAUAGCUUCCAUGUGUUGGAUUUAUUCAUUAAGGAUGACUCUCAACAGCAAAUCAGUUGUGUUCAACCAGCAGCGGAACCAGGGGAAAGAGUUUCAUUCCAAUGAGG
ensembl:lncRNA